rnacentral:rRNA from 1 species
UACGGGGGGGGCAAGCGUUGUUCGGAAUUACUGGGCGUAAAGGGCUCGUAGGUGGCCAACUAAGUCAGACGUGAAAUCCCUCGGCUUAACCGGGGAACUGCGUCUGAUACUGGAUGGCUUGAGUUCGGGAGAGGGAUGCGGAAUUCCAGGUGUAGCGGUGAAAUGCGUAGAUAUCUGGAGGAACACCGGUGGCGAAGGCGGCAUCCUGGACCGACACUGACACUGAGGAGCGAAAGCCAGGGGAGCGAACAGG